CCUACGGGAGGCAGCAGUGAGGAAUAUUGGUCAAUGGACGAGAGUCUGAACCAGCCAAGUAGCGUGAAGGAUGACUGCUCUAUGGGUUGUAAACUUCUUUUAUAAAGGAAUAAAACGAGGCACGUGUGCCUUUUUGCAUGUACUUUAUGAAUAAGGAUCGGCUAACUCCGUGCCAGCAGCCGCGGUAAUACGGAGGAUCCGAGCGUUAUCCGGAUUUAUUGGGUUUAAAGGGAGCGUAGAUGGGUUGUUAAGUCAGUUGUGAAAGUUUGCGGCUCAACCGUAAAAUUGCAAUUGAUACUGGCAGUCUAGAGUACAGUUGAGGUAAGCGGAAUUCGUGGUGUAGCGGUGAAAUGCUUAGAUAUCACGAAGAACCCCGAUUGCGAAGGCAGCUUACUAAACUGUGACUGACAUUGAUGCUCGAAAGUGUGGGUAUCAAACAGGAUUAGAUACCCCAGUAGUC
rnacentral:rRNA from 1 species